CUCAAUUUGCCAUCACCGCCGAUGGAAUCGCGCACUCUGAAUCCGCGCUUCCACGCCGCUCCUCCUCCAUCUCCCUCUCUCUGGAGCGUCCGUAUCUCGUCAGUUUUUGGGUUCUCCCACCGCAUCGAGGACCACCAGAUCCGAAGGUAUUUGAGAAGGGUGAUCUCAUUCAAGCCCCGAGGCGUCGCUAGAGUGUAAGAGUACAUCUCUUGGGAGGUGAAUGAACUCAAUGCUCUGAGGGUGGGAAGGCGCCAAUUACCAUGGGCUUCACAUAUUCGAGUAGGAGCAAACGCCUCAGCGGUGCAUGACUAUGCUGGAGGACUGGGUGCUGUUACAAACUCAAGUGCAUCUAACUGGGGUGUAUUUUAUGGGACACAUCAGACUAGGUCCACGUACAAACUGAUAUAUGCUUAGAACUUUAAUUUGUUGUCAUUUUGUCAAUCUCUUGUACUUGUUAAACAAUUUGAUUUGAUGAUACUUUUAUCAAUUUUGCUCA